CCUACGGGAGGCAGCAGUGAGGAAUAUUGGUCAAUGGACGAGAGUCUGAACCAGCCAAGUAGCGUGAAGGAUGACUGCCCUAUGGGUUGUAAACUUCUUUUAUAUGGGAAUAAAAUGUUCCACGUGUGGGAUUUUGUAUGUACCAUAUGAAUAAGGAUCGGCUAACUCCGUUCCAGCAGCCGCGGUAAUACGGAGGAUCCGAGCGUUAUCCGGAUUUAUUGGGUUUAAAGGGAGAGUAGGUGGAUUGUUAAGUCAGUUGUGAAAGUUUGCGGGUCAACCGUAAAAUUGCAGUUGAAACUGGCAGUCUUGAGUACAGUAGAGGUGGGCGGAAUUCGUGGUGUAGCGGUGAAAUGCUUAGAUAUCACGAAGAACUCCGAUUGCGAAGGCAGUUCACUGGACUGCAACUGACACUGAGGCUCGAAAGUGUGGGUAUCAAACAGGAUUAGAUACCCGGGUAGUC
rnacentral:rRNA from 1 species